UCUUCAGGUGGGCCGUUGCGAGAGUUCCUAUAUAUUUUGAUGGGUAGGAAUAACAACAUUUUCUGUGGUCCAGAAAAUUGCCGUGCCCUCAGUCACAACCUUCCUGAGGUCUUCUACUACGUGGGGCAGAUGAUUGCCGUAUCCUUGGUUCAUGGUGGCACGGAUACUGUUGCCGACUACAUUGCUAAUGGAAUGACUGGGCCAUCUGUGUCAUCUGUUCCAGAUUCCAGAUUCUGAAAGAUAGCUAAGGUGUGUGUCGUGUGUCAAUGUAUCUUGCUGAGACAACGACCGUCUACUAAACUUAUGGCAUUUCGAAGUAUCCAUCGAAGAAGUAGACAAUGUAGACAAAGAAAGGAUUAUCACUGCCAUGGCCUUGCACUUCAGUAUAUCCGUCUGUAAAAUCAGUUAAUCAAUGGGCUGGAGACUUUGCAGAUCAUGGAGGUCAUUCAGAGAUCUCCUUCGACUACGAAGAAACUUUUUAGUUUUUAAGUUUUCAAAUCCAACCAAUCUGACAAGAUGUACUCUCUUUUUAAAUCUGAGUUCUCACCAGAGGGAAGCACUAAUGUACUGGGUGGCAUUCACCAACAAGAUCGACUCUUAUAAUAGUACAUUGAUUGUGUAAUUUUUUGGUGCAGAUUGGUGCAGAGACUGGUGGAAAGUUGAAUGUCGAGAAUGAUCGUGGUGAAACGAGGAGUUACACCUUAUGAUAUUGUUCAGUUUGCCACAGGUGCUCCGGCUUCCUUAGACAAAACAUAUCGAUUUCCUGCAUACCACGGAACGUGUCAGCGCUUACACAUCGGUGGACAUCUCUCCAUAAGCGUUCUAUUCGUUCGUUAAGGAUUGAUGAUCCACUGCACUGCUGCUAGAAUGUUGUUCGACCUUUCCCCGCCUAUCCCCGCCUAAAUCUGAGCGAACUUUGUUAGGCAGUCCAUGCUCCUCUAGCUGCUUCAAUAAAAUUAAUGAUUGCAGGACAGUAAUUGCCUUGUUGUUAGGCGAACAUUUUAAGAACACAAUGGUACGCGAGUAUCCGUCAAUGGCACCAUGAGUCCAUGGGUCCCUCCGAGUAGUAGGUUCCAGUGACGCUUCUCCGUAGCUGAGUGUUUAUUGGAUCUACACAAUGUAUUGAGGCUCUUGUACGUGACCGGGCUCUAGGAAAACCGGACAAGCAGCACUAUUGACCAAAAUAGAAUAACAGCCAAAAAUCAUCAAAACAGUUUUUAUCGUGCACCUACUAGUGAAGUUUUAAGCUGUACUUGCUUACCAUAAGAGCAGGCGAGGACGGCCACUCAACACAAAUAAUUUUAACUGUACGUGACGUCACACGUAACGGGAUUUUCCCUUGCGCAAGGGCGUAUCUCAAUUGUGCAUUACUAGCUACACAGUAUAUGAACAGCAUGAGCUCAGGCAACGCUUCUAAGACGGCUAAGGCUAUUAACGACAUAUUGAGGUUGCCUCAAGAAGACCAUGAAUCAUAUCAGAAUGGCUAGACCUCGAGAAACCGAUAACAUGGACGGCACAGGAACAACACAGUAAUCAAAAUGAAACAGAAGAAUAAUAAUACAAAAAGACAUGGGGGGUACUGACUCUAGGUUUGAGUCUCGCUGCAAGGUACAAUUUUAGGCUUUAACCCUUUCCCAGCUUUAGCCGUCAUAUGACGGCAGCGGUAGUGAUAAUUUUCAAAAAAUCGUUGUGGGCGCUGUGUUGGAGCUAUGCGCAGGUACCAGCACAUGCUGCUCUUUCACGUGGUAUCUUUAAUAUCUUGCCUCGAGGUACACUUCAUGCAGAAAAGUGACUGUUUGAUAAUGUUUCAAGAUCUUCGUAGUACAACCUCAGCGAGGUUCUAGGGCAGCUAGGGCAGCUAGACAGUGAGAAUAACGAUGCUUAUGGCCUUGUUGAGUAAGAGGACAGUACUAAUUUUCAGAGGUCAAGCUAUAAAUAUAGAGCCUGAAGAGCCGGCUCCUGAGCAUGAACCAAAGUCCUGGACCUUGUAAGUAAGUAUGGAGUAUCAUAUGUAGUGGUAUGCUUAGUCUAGUUAAAACAUUUCCCGGGAAAAGAGCGUCUGCCGAUACGACCUCGCACAGAAGUUUCUGCUGAUCCUGAUUGAACCAUGUUACCGUGAGAACAUUGAGAACACUUACUUAGUGUCUUUAGUGACUUCAUGCGCCUUCAUUGUGAAAUGUGUAAAAAAAAUCGUUAAUUAGUGGGGGGUGGUCAGUUGCUAGGUAACGAUGAUGAUGUCAUGGUACCCCCAGGAUAUAGUUGCAAGUUGCAAGUGAUUACAAUGCAUUGUUCAUGAGAUAAGUAUUUUUAAACAAAAAUUAUUCUGUAUUAUUUUUGUUUUUUUAAUUAAAGCCGGGAAAGGGAAGGGUUAACUUUUAACAAUAAUUGUUCUUGCCUUUGUUUAUGAUGGCGACAUUCAACAUGAAACAGAUCCAUUGGAAGCAGCGCUUGUACGGAUCCCUUCACGCACCACGCUCUCGGUCCAAUGGAGCUCUCUGUGAUGGAAGACGAGGACGUUACAACUUUUGUGCGUGACACCUGUGGAUGCAAACUUGUCACAUAACAAAGAUGAGAAUGGCCUGCAAUGGACAAAUUUCGGCCUGCACUAAUCGUAGCGAUGGUGUGGUGGUUGAAUCUCGACACGGAGGAACAGCAGUUAUGUACUCGGUUUUUCAGAUUUAUCUACCUGUAAAUUAAAAUACACAUAUCACACGCACUAAAAAAUGCUUUGCGUAUGUAUUUAUUGAUAGGUAUUGUGCAUUUAUUACACAUCAUUAUUACACAUCAAGAAAUCCACACGCAAACACGAACAGCGUAUUUUUGUGUAUGAAUUUCAUGAUGUGUACUCCCGCUAGGUACGCUUACAUGGGUACACAUAAAGAAAUCUGUACGCACGCCGCACGCCACAGAAAUGCCGGCUCAGUACUCUCAACGCGGGAAAAUGGACUGUUACACGGCAACAAGCACCGACUACCAGCUAACACUUUGUCAUACGAGUGCUUUGGUCAUACGAGUGCUUUGUGCUGAACUACCCGGUAGAGUCCCUGGGUUUUGAAAGACUGACAUCAGACCCUCAAGCACCUCAAAGACGUUAGUAUGGAAGCUGUACAAGGGGGACAUUGCAAUGGGCUACUCUACAUUUUGCAAAUUGUGGAGACAGCUACUUCCCUACCUGGUUGUGACAAAGCAGCCUAUGACUGAUCUGUGCCAGCAGAACAGCACAGCACUCUCUCGUGCUGUCAACACGCCACUAGAGUGCGACCCUGACAGCCUACAUGGAGCAUCUGGACAAACUUUAAGACAGUAUGCGACAGUAUGCGACCAGUGCAGAGUGACUAUCCGCUCACACUACCGCCGCUGUCUUCAAACACUCGUCCGAACUCUUUGGAUAUCGACGCUUUUGAUUACGCUCAACAGGUACACUAUCCCCUGCAACCAGGUACUUUUUAGUACCUCGGAAGUGCUUGGGGUGUGCUGUGAGGCAAUUCCCCGCCAAAUGAAUUUCCUCUGUGAUGAGGCGGGAAUCUGUGGCAAGGGGGCAAACGUUGUGGUUAGCCAGCUUCACUACUACUUUGAGCAUCAUGGCCUAGGUGAGAAGACAGUGUAUUUGCAUGCCGAUAAUUGUUCUGGACAGAACAAAAACAGAACAAAAACAACACCAUGGUUCAGUACCUGCUAUGGCGCUCGAUGACCACUCACAUCACUCUCUCAUUUCUGGUAGUUGGACACACCAAAUUUUCUCCGGACUGGUGCUUUGGGCUCGUCAAGAGACUAGGACAGAAAUCGGAAGCCUUCAGGCGGUUUGUACAUAAAAAUCAGA